CGUACAUUAACACUGUUGCUCCUUCGCUGUUGGUGACAGACACACAUGAGCCAGAGCUGGCUUGCGAUUUUGAAAUCAUUUCUUUAUCACUGGAUGUGGAACUUGACUUAGAGGCGCCUCCUGCUCCAGGUCAAAACGUUUUACAUGUCAUUCAGCAUGAGAUUUCAGCUUAUACUGCGAUACAGAAUAUACUGGCUCAGCGCGCUAGACGCCAGAUAUCUGAUAAUGCUGAUCAGAAAGGAGAGAAACUUCCAGGUACAUUAAAACAUUGUGUGUGUAAUGCCUGUGCUUAUGUGUAAGUGUAUA